GACGUAGGGCGCGAGCGUUGUCCGGAUUUACUGGGCGUAAAGGGCGCGUAGGCGGUCAGCACAAGUCAGUUGUGAAAUCUCCGGGCUUAACUCGGAACGGUCAAGUGAUACUGUCGCGCUAGAGUGCGGAAGGGGCAAUCAGAAUUCUUGGUGUAGCGGUGAAAUGCGUAGAUAUCAAGAGGAAUACCUGAGGUGAAGACGGGUUGCUAGGCCGACACUGACGCUGAAGCGCGAAAGCCAGGGGAGCAAACGGG
rnacentral:rRNA from 1 species